GUCUUUGUACCUUUUGACCCACGGGAGAUCAUUUGUUUGUAGACCUUUUUGUCAGUAAAGUGCAGCUGAGCAGCAACCCAUGGUGUCGGUCGUGUUCCAUAAAAUCCACACAACGCAGAGGAAAAGACCACCGGUUACAUAAGGCGGUCCUCCGACUGACCGGAGCUCUGCAAUGGUCACAAAGGCGGAAGAAGGCUGCAGCAAAGAUGGGCCCUCAAUUGUCUUGGUCUCCAUGCCAUUGGACCCUGGCCUUCUCUUUGCCAAGGACAGUGUGGUGGCUGUCUGUGCACCAGUCUCCCCACUUUAAAUGAUUCCACGCACUGGUGUUCUCCUGAAGGCAGACCCACCAACAGGAGGACAACCCUACUCGUUUCGAGUGAUC